rnacentral:rRNA from 1 species
UCUUGGAUGUAAAUAAACCAGAGUACUAUGAAUGUUGUAAAUUUAAAACUCAAAGAACUUGGCGGUGUUUUAGACCACUCAGGGGAACCUGUCUCGUAAUCGACAAUCCACGUUGUACCUGACCUUUUUUUGUUUUCAGUUUGUAUACCGUUGUCGUCAGGUAACUUUUUAGAAUAGAGAAGUUGGCUGGAAAAAUAUAAUUUAGUACGUCAAAUCAAGGUGCAGCUUAUAGAAAGGGGAGGAUGGGUUACAAUUAUUAUUUAUAAUUACGAAAGGAGGACUUGAAAGUAAAUUGGAUAAAAAUAAAUUUGAAUAAGGCUCUGAAACGUGU